UACGUAGGCAGCGAGCGUUGUUCGGAGUUACUGGGCGUAAAGGGUGUGUAGGCGGUUCUUUUAAGUUUGGUGUGAAAUCUCCCGGCUCAACCGGGAGGGUGCGCCGAAUACUGAGGGACUCGAGUGCGGGAGAGGAAAGUGGAAUUCCUGGUGGUAGCGGUGAAAUGCGUAGAUAUCAGGAGGAACACCGGUGGUGUAGACGGCUUUCUGGACCGUAACUGACGCUGAGACACGAAAGCGUGGGUAGCAAACAGG
rnacentral:rRNA from 1 species